rnacentral:ncRNA from 1 species
UAAGUCGUGCUUCGACACGUGGGAGAUAUAGCCGCAUCGAGGGCGUUACAAUGUACCCGAAACUAACACAGGUGGGUAGGUGGAGAAUACCUAGGGGCGCUAGACAACUCUCUCUAAGGAACUCGGCAAAAUAGCCCCGUAACUUCGGGAGAAGGGGUGCCCCUCACAAAAGGCCCGGGUGACUGUUUACCAAAAACACAGGUCUCCGUAAAGUCGUAAGACAAUGUAUGGGGGAUGAUGCUUGCCCAGUGCUAGAAGGUCAAGGAAGUUGGUGAACUGAUGACAGGGAAGUCGACGACCGAAGCCCUGGUGAACGGCGGCCGUAACUAUAAUGGUCCUAAGGUAGCAAAAUUCCUUGUCGGGUAAGUUCCGACCCGCAUGAAAGGCAUAACGAUCUGGGCACUGUCUCGGAGAGAGGCUCCGUGAAAU